rnacentral:rRNA from 1 species
CGCCAGCCUGACGGAGCCAGACCGCGUGGGGGAGGAAGGCCCUUGGGUUGUAAACCCCUUUUCUCAGGGAAGAAACCUGACGGUACCUGAGGAAAAAGCCUCGGCUAACUCCGUGCCAGCAGCCGCGGUAAUACGGAGGAGGCAAGCGUUAUCCGGAAUUACUGGGCGUAAAGCGUUCGUAGGGGGCUCGUCAAGUCUGCUGUCAAAGACCGGAGCUCAACUCCGGGCAGGCAGUGGAAACUGGGGAGCUAGAGGGCGGCAGGGGCAGAGGGAAUUCCCAGUGUAGCGGUGAAAUGCGUAGAGAUUGGGAAGAACACCGGUGGCGAAAGCGCUCUACUGGGUCGCACCUGACCCUGAGGGACGAAAGCCAGGGGAGCG